GCUAUUUUAGUUUAUUUAAAAUUUCUAAUUUGUAAUUAGAGGAAAUCCUUAGCA
rnacentral:tRNA from 1 species